CGAAUUUAUUUUGGCGGAAAAAUUAUAUUUGGAAUAUUUUAGGUGGGAAAAAUCAAUAGUUCACUUUGUAAACCUAAAACAUUUUCAAAAUAGGGAUAACAUGUUCAUUAAAAGUUAAAAGAGGGUAUAAAUGAAAAUGGUCAAGAGGAAGAGGCAUAAUUAAAACAGGACAGUCUUGAAAGAGCAUUCUUAUUAAUUUCUCAAAAUUCUAUACAACAUAUUUUAAUUUCAUAAA
rnacentral:sRNA from 1 species